rnacentral:rRNA from 1 species
CUCCGAACGACCGCUGGCGGUCUGCCUAACACAUGCCAGUCGAACGAGACCUUCGGGUCUAGUGGCGCACGGGUGCGUAACGCGUGGGAACCUGCCCUUAGGUUCGGAAUAACUCCCCGAAAGGGGUGCUAAUACCGGAUAAUGUCUUCGGAUCAAAGAUUUAUCGCCUUUGGAUGGGCCCGCGUUGGAUUAGCUAGUUGGUAGGGUAAAAGCCUACCAAGGCGACGAUCCAUAGCUGGUCUGAGAGGAUGAUCAGCCACACUGGGACUGAGACACGGCCCAGACUCCUACGGGAGGCAGCAGUGGGGAAUAUUGGACAAUGGGCGAAAGCCUGAUCCAGCAAUGCCGCGUGAGUGAUGAAGGCCUUAGGGUUGUAAAGCUCUUUUACCCGGGAUGAUAAUGACAGUACCGGGAGAAUAAGCUCCGGCUAACUCCGUG